rnacentral:tRNA from 5 species
GGGCCGGUGGCGCAGUUGGUAGCGCGCCCGCUUGGCAUGCGGGAGGUCGGGGGUUCGAAUCCCCCCCGGUCCA